rnacentral:lncRNA from 1 species
GUUUAUACUGUCGAUUACAGUUCCCACCUCAUCUCUGAGGUUUCUACUUGCUCCUCCGUCUCUUAACCACGAGCCUCUCCUCCGCUGAUGUCGUCGCCUCUCAUUCCUUCCUGAAGCUUUUCCCCUUCUCUGUCAAUGGAGUCUCCUGAAGCUGUUUCAUCUGUUUUUCUUCCCCUGCCGCCUGAACCACCAGAUCCCGACCUGGACGUGAUGCUUCUGGUGGAUCAUCCUGUCCCUCCAGUUCCCCCCCACCCUCCACCGAUUCUCAUAGAUGCAAGUGUGCUAUCUG